rnacentral:lncRNA from 1 species
AGCAACUCAACAGCUGUUUAAAGCAACCGCUAGAAACUCCAACAUGGACGAACUUGAUUUGCUAUUAGAGGAGUUGGCCCUGGAUGCCAGCAGUGAUGCUGCCAAGGCUGAGGUGCCAGCUGCAGUUAAUGAUAAUCUCACCAAAAAUGGAGGAGCAUCAGCAUCGACGUCGGCAUCAGUAGGCUCAAGUGUCUACAGGUGAGACAAAAGCUCCAAAAUGAGGAUCUGCAUAAUUGUCAAGUAUAAAUAGAAACGUUACUUAUUCAAUUAAAUGUGAGUUUAUUCA